rfam:Gorilla gorilla gorilla genomic chromosome, chr11, whole genome shotgun sequence
GCUGGGAGUGGUGGUGGGCACCUGUAAUCCCAACUACUUGGGAGGCUGAGGCAGGAGAAUCGCUUGAGCCCAGGAGGCAGAGGUGGCAGUGAGCGGAAAUUGCACCACUGCACUUCAGCCUGGGCAACAGAGUGAGACUCGACCUCAA